AAUAAAAACCACAGGCUUUUUUACCCUCAAGUUACAGUAUAUAUUCUCAGUGCAAAUUGUCUUGUAUCACAAACUUCAUUGAGCACAGGAAGACAAACUGCUUUCUCUACCUGAAGGGUGACUGAAGUGACCCUCCACUUGAACCCGUGUUGAAAGAGACUCCUCUGCACUGACUCCAGUCAAAGAUGUUGAAGAUCCUCUUCUUGGUGUCCUUGGUGCUGCUGGCUGCUUCCCACAUCCAGUCUGUAAAGAGUUCCUCUUCGGGUGGUUCUGAUGCUGGUGUCCAGAAGCCCUGUGCCCGCCUCUUCCACCUGGAGACUGGGGAGCAGCUGGAGCUGCCGUCCCUCCCAGAGAAGAAGAAGAAGCUGCUGGGGGGAGCUGCUGCUGGGAGUGAAUUAGCCUUCAGCUUCAGCUCCUUCACUGUGAUGGACGGGUGUCUGCUCUCUCUGUGGGUUGCAGGUUCCCAAGAAUGGGGCCUGGAGUCUCGCUCCUUCCCAAGUGGGGCUUACCUCAACCAGCUGCCUGGUGCUGGGGUCUCCCUGACCAGCUACCAGUGCACCUGCGACCAGGAGAAAAACCAAGUCACGGCCAAUUACACAGAUUUUAAAAACAGGCACAUCGCAGGUGAAAAUGAACAGGGUAGUGAUGAAUUCUGCACACGGGAAAUACACAAUAGGAAUAUAAAUUUAAAUAGAGAAUGCAGCUAUAGAAAAUGCAAAUACUUAAACACUUUUGUAUUCGCGGAUGAUAAUGAUAUAAUCAAUGUGUGUAGAAAUCAAGGUGUCUGGAAUUCCAGUAAUUUGUAUAAGAGUAUAAAUCAGUUCAGAAUUGUGGAUUGUAGAAAUGCGAACCAAAACCGUAGACCCCCAAACUGUACCUACAGAGCUCAAAAUGCAAACCACUUGAUGUAUAUCGUUGUAGCCUGUGACAACAACCUGCCUGUACAUUUUGAGAGAUCAGAGCCCAAUCCUCCUCAAUUUGGAAUCACUGGAAGAGUUUAAACUCUAGUGUGAAGAACCAGCUCUCUCCGCACUGCUUAUUGCUUUAGGAAACCAAGACAAGUAGCCUGCUGUUAAAUUCCUCUUGUGUGGCAGGACGAGAAUGGGAAAAUGCAACUUUUAGAAAAAAGAGAAGAGAAAUACAAGAUUAAAGGGAACUCAAGAUGUUUUCUUUUGUGUGUUACAUGUCCCCAUAUGUUGCUACAGCUGUUUAAGUAAGGUGUGUGUAUUGUUUUUAUUAUUUUAUUUUUAUGACAUCCUGACCAGCUUUCUUUCAACACUGUUAAAUUGCAGUCUACAGUGCUCUAUUCCCAAGAUGGCUUCACACAUGAACCCCCUGAAGAACUUCAGAACUACAUUUCACAUCAUCCUCCUGCUUAUAUAUUUAUGUAUGAUGGGGGUGAUGGGAAAUGCAGUUCUUCUGAAGUGUACAUGUGUGAAGUCAUUUCAGAAACAGAGCACAGUGCAAUUUAAUAGUGUAAACAAAGUAGUCAGGAUGUACAAAAUUAAAAACUCACACCUCACUUAAACAGUUGCAGCAACACAUCAGAACAUGUAAUACAAAGACAGCUUGAGUUCCCUUUUAAAAUGACUCCACAUAGAAUUAACACUGAACUGUACUGAUGAGCAAGCAGGUUGCUAUUGAAGCUCAUACAGGUAUACAGUUAUUUGUAGGUGCACUUUUAUGCAUACAGGCAUGAAUCCUUGUUUUUGAAUAUGGGGCCCCAUGUGCUUAUAGAAUCAGCACUGUAUCACUCCAGUAAUGUCACAACUCUAUGAGAUGAGCAUCCACAUCACCCCCUUGUGGGCAUUUUAAUAGUGCAUCUCACUGUCCUGUGCAGCUGAGAUAAAUUCACAUUAUUAACACAUAUGCACUUUAAAGGGGAAAUCAAGUUUUUUGUUGUCUGUUGCAUAUUCCCAUAUGUUGAUAUAACUGUUUAAGUAAGCUGUGUGUAUUGUUUUUAUUAUUUAUUUGGAAUCCUGAGCACUUUUUUUACACUAUUAAAUUGCAGUCAACAGUGCUCCGUUUCCAAAAUGGCUUCACAUGCACCCUUCAGAAGAACUUCAGAACUACAUUUCCCAAUAAUCCUGCUGCUCACGUAUGAAUGAUGGGGGUGAUGGGAAAUGUAGUUCUUCUGAAGGGUACAUGUGAAGCCAUCUUGGAAACAGAAGAGCACUGUAGACUGCAAUUUAAUAAUGUAAAAAAGAGGUCAGAAUGUCAAAAAAUAAAACACACACACACACACCUUAAAGAGUUGUAGCAACAUAUGGGAAACACCAAAAAACAACUUGAGUUCCCCUUUAACUUGCAACUAAUAACGACAACCCACAGUGACAAAGUGAAGAGAAAUAGUCUCCAUCUUGUCUUGACCAGAGACGUGAUUAUUUGAAUGAAUGUGUGAUGAAUUGACCCUCUUUGAUCAUUCCUUUCCUGAUGUUGAGAUAUUGAGAAUGGAAAUGCAAGACGUUGUUUCUCUUGUAAUCCCUGCUGUUUUAACGCAAUAAAAGCUUCUGCUGCAUCAAA